AUUGAACGCUGGCGGCAUGCUUUACACAUGCAAGUCGAACGGCAGCGCGGGCUUCGGCCUGGCGGCGAGUGGCGAACGGGUGAGUAAUACAUCGGAACGUGCCCAGCAGUGGGGGAUAGCUCGGCGAAAGCCGGAUUAAUACCGCAUACGACCUGAGGGUGAAAGCGGGGGAUCUUCGGACCUCGCGCUAUUUGAGCGGCCGUUGGCAGAUUAGCUAGUUGGUGGGGUAAAGGCCUACCAAGGCGACGAUCUGUAGCUGGUCUGAGAGGACGACCAGCCACACUGGGACUGAGACACGGCCCAGACUCCUACGGGAGGCAGCAGUGGGGAAUUUUGGACAAUGGGCGAAAGCCUGAUCCAGCAAUGCCGCGUGUGUGAUGAAGGCCUUCGGGUUGUAAAGCACUUUUGGCGGGAACGAAAAGGACUGUGCCAAUACCACGGUUCGAUGACGGUACCCGCAGAAUAAGCACCGGCUAACUACGUG
rnacentral:rRNA from 1 species